AGCAAACCUCCCUCCCAUGUCAGCCUCCCAAGUACCUGGGACUAAAGGUGCAUGUCACCACGCCUGGCUAAAUUAAAAAUUGUUUUUGUAGAGAUGGGGUUACGCUGUUGCCCAACCUGUGAAGUUAUCCUUUACUAAAUACAAAGGUUUAGGCUUAGAUUCUGUUUUAUCUUUCUCUUCAGCCCUUUUAUGACUGCUAAUUGGUGGGCUGUUGUCAAUCUGCAUAGUUUUCUUUAUC
rnacentral:lncRNA from 1 species